GAGAGAGAGAGAGAGAUAAACUUUGCAUUAAUUAAUCUUGAGCAUGUAAAUUACAACUCAGUUUUCUUAUUUAUCAAUUUAGAGUGACUACUACUAAUCAGCUAACUAAACUAAUGUAACUAACAGCUCUAGAUUCUUAUCCUUAGCUUAUUGAUUAUGGUCCACAGGCAUAAAAGCACCCUCCUCUUUGAGUUAUUGAAGGGUGCUACAUCAAAGUCAAUCUGCAGCCUUUAUGCCCAUGUAAGCUGCCUAUCCAAUUCUAUCUCAGACAAGUAGUCCCAUAAGCUACCAUUUUCAACAAACUUGAACACAAGACAAGGCUUUCUUCCAUGGCACCAACCCUCAAGAUGAUUGAUCUUUGCCAAUGUGUAAAUGAAGUUCCAAACAUCUGCCUAACGAUCCACACAUUCAAUUGCUACAUCCAUGUACCAAGUGUAAAAAAACACUUGAGCCGAGAAUUAAAUAUGAAUUCCAUGUAUUUGAUUUUGUACCAACAGCCAACAGCAUGAUUUUCUUCAAAUGAAUCAUUGCUUUUAGACCAUAUGAGUUUUUAGAAGCAGAACUAUAAUCCAAUUCAAAUACUUCAAAAAACUGCCGGAAAAUUCUCUACAAGGACAUUCUCAAAAACAUGUGUUGUGCACCACACUUCUAUUAACAAAAUUGCAUUUUCAUUCUGUUUUCUCCACAUCUUGAAUCUAUUUUCCUUGAGGAAAGUAUUACCUCUUGGUUUUAAUAAAAGAUCAUGGCACUCAUAAUAUAGAACUGUCUUACAA
rnacentral:misc_RNA from 1 species